GAGAGCCAUCUUAUCCAAUGAAAAGAUCCCUCAAUAAUACUUUUCUAUUCAACUGCUUGCAUAAAGUCUUAGGGAUAUAGAUAAAAUGAAUAUGACUUAGAAAAUUUAUCAAUUCAGUUGCACAUGCAUAUUUAAAUCCACAUGCUCUUUAAAUAAUACACUAAUGUAGAAAUAUUGCCUUUUCCAGACUUACAUAUCAUUAAUAAUUUUAUUCAUCAGUGUGUUUGUUAUCUCUGGAGACAAUUUUUGAGUCAUUCAAUUCAUUUUUUUCUAGGACACAUCAUUUUCAUUUCCAUCUCCAGUGUGUGAGAUACAGCAGACUGUCACUAGAAAUUUUAUCCCAAGUCAUGAAUGAAUACACAUUAAUAUAACAUUAGGACAGUUUUAUUUAUUCAAGUGAUCUGUGUGUGUUUAUGAGCUCCACAAUAUAACCAAUUUACCUUAUUGUCUUUUAAAGGAAUACUCAGAGGGUUUGUUUACUAAGGCAUCCGAUAUUUGCAUUCAUGAGUGCAUAUUCCUAGAAAUAAUUGCUAAAUCUGUGUUCAUUUCAUGUGUCUCCUCUAUUUGCUGCUUCUGUCAGGAAACCUCGAUAAACACCCCAAACCAGCACAAACUGAAGUCAUUGUAGACCAAUGUAUCUUCCCUCAACAACACCAUGUUUUCCAAGUCAAGGUAAUUGAGACAGCAUCACCAAAUUUGAGACACGUGGUAAGGAUUCCAGUAUCUACAAAUCAAUCAGUUUUAGGGAUGAUUUUGGUAAAAUCCUUUGGAACUAAGUCCUGAUUCACAUGGAAUAAUUAACCUCAUUUUACAGACGAUGAACUGAGGUUCAGAAGUUGAUGUAACUCUCCUCAAAUGCAAGAGCUUGAGACUGAAAAAUAUAAGUGGUGACUGGAGGCCAGGACUCUUCUAGUCCAAGGCUCAAGUGCUGAACCACAAGAUGCACUGAUCACACUGGGAGAUGUGGGUUAUGUCCACUGCUGACAAUUCCCUUUCCAGAAUAUCC
rnacentral:lncRNA from 1 species